rnacentral:rRNA from 1 species
AGUAACAACCAUUUGAGUCUGGGAUUUCUGAAUGGGGAAACCCACGUGCAUAAGCACGUAUCCUUACCUGAAUACAUAGGGUAAGGAGGCGAACCGGGGGAACUGAAACAUCUAAGUACCCCGAGGAAAAGAAAUCAACCGAGAUUCCGAAAGUAGCGGCGAGCGAAAUUGGACUAGCCCUUAAGCUUUACACGCGUUAGACGAACGGUCUGGAAAGUCCGACGAUACAGGGUGAUAGUCCCGUAGUUGACGACGUGUGUUCAGUGAAAUCGAGUAGGGCGGGACACGUGAUAUCCUGUCUGAA